rnacentral:rRNA from 1 species
GACGAACCGGGCGAACGUUUUUCGGAAUCACUGGGCUUAAAGGGCGCGUAGGCGGGUUGUCCAGUCUGGGGUGAAAGCCCAGGGCUCAACCAUGGAAUUGCCUCAGAUACUGACGACCUCGAGGGAGGUAGAGGAUAGCGGAAAUUUGGGUGGAGCGGUGAAAUGCGUUGAUAUCCCCAGGAACUCCGGUGGCGAAGGCGGCCCGCUGGACCGGUUCUGACGCCGAGGCGCGAAAGCUAGGGGAGCAACCGGG